GGGUGCGAUCAUACCGGCGUUAAUGCACCGGAUCCCAUCAGAACUCCGCAGUUAAACGCGCUUGGGCCAGAGUAGUACUGGGAUGGGUGACCUCUCGGGAAGUCCUGGUGUUGCACCCU
rfam:Picea glauca, whole genome shotgun sequence.